AGAGUUUGAUCCUGGCUCAGGACGAACGCUGGCGGCGUGCCUAAUACAUGCAAGUCGAACGAGAGCGACCGGUGCUUGCGCUGGUCAAUCUAGUGGCGAACGGGUGAGUAACACGUGGGUAACCUGCCCAUCAGAGGGGGAUAACAUUCGGAAACGGAUGCUAAAACCGCAUAGGUCUUCGAACCGCAUGGUUUGAAGAGGAAAAGAGGCGCAAGCUUCUGCUGAUGGAUGGACCCGCGGUGCAUUAGCUAGUUGGUGAGGUAACGGCUCACCAAGGCCGUGAUGCAUAGCCGACCUGAGAGGGUGAUCGGCCACAUUGGGACUGAGACACGGCCCAAACUCCUACGGGAGGCAGCAGUAGGGAAUCUUCCGCAAUGGACGCAAGUCUGACGGAGCAACGCCGCGUGAGUGAAGAAGGUUUUCGGAUCGUAAAACUCUGUUGUUAGAGAAGAACAAGUGCUAGAGUAACUGUUAGCGCCUUGACGGUAUCUAACCAGAAAGCCACGGCUAACUACGUGCCAGCAGCCGCGGU
rnacentral:rRNA from 1 species